rnacentral:rRNA from 1 species
UUCAGUAGGUGAACCUGCGGAAGGAUCAUUAACACUAAUCCAUCUCAACUCAACAAAGCCUUUAGUUGUAGCAGCGGUAACAUUGCUACAGCAUCUUACAAAACUAAUUAAUCAAAGGAGCCUAAGUAAGCACCAACACUAAAACCAAAUUCUCAACGGUGGAUGUCUUGGUUCCCACAACGAUGAAGAACGCAGCGAAGUGCGAUAAGCAGUGCGAAUUGCAGAACCGUGAGUCAUCAGAUUUUUGAACGCAACUGGCGCCGUGCGGGGUCACCCGCCGGCACGCCUGGUCCAGUGUCUUGUUCUCUCCUCACCCAAAUCCUUAUGCGAGAGAUGCCCUUCUCUUGCCAAGCAUGAAAGCACUCUGCUUACUGCGAGCGGCCUUCGGGUCGCGCUCCAUGCAGACGUCACAUUUUACAAUGUGAACUCAUGGAGAGCGGUGGCAGUGCAGCGUCAGCUGCCAGUGCUUAGACAAACCAACUUAGGUACAGUAUCUGGGCUCAGGUGGGACCACCCGCUGAACUUAAGCAUAUCACUAAGCGGAGGA